CUUGUCCAAAGGAAGAGACGUGGACUCGGAAAACCAGAGCCGGGUUCGGAGUCGGCGGGAGGAAGCCCCGCCCUGCGCCUCCCGCCGAACUUUUCGGCCCCGGCGCUGACUCAGUCCCGGGAGAGCCCCAGCGCCGCGGUCCGCCCGGACGCCCCAGCGCGAAGAUGCUCCACUCUGAGGACUGAAAAAUCCAAGCCUUCUGAUAUGCACAGAAUGAUCUAGGCUCCCCUGUCAGGAUCUUGCUAUGCAGUUCAGGUUGGCCUUGAACUCACUAUGUAGUCCAGGCUGGUCUUGAACUAACGGUGAUCCUCCUGCCUCAGCCUCCCAAAUCCUGGGAUAUCUAGACUGAAAAUGUGACCGCUGUAAGUAGGAUUUGAACCUGUGCAGGGAUUUCAAGUCCAGUACCUCAACCACUCUGCCAUCACAGCUGCAAUUCAUUUCUUAUGAUAACAGUAACAUCUUUCUAGCGUAAUUAAGGGAUUAUAUAAGAAUAUGUAGACUCUGAGCCACAGAAACACAAUAGAAGGAAAAAAUGUGUUAUUUGAAUAUGAAAGAACAAAACUUAGAACAUUAAAAGGCUGGUAUGGGAAUGAGGAUCUAGACACAGGCCCCCCACCACUGCUAUAGGUAGUUCUAUUUUAAUACUCAUAA